rnacentral:lncRNA from 1 species
UGGGCUAAAGUUGGCUGAACGUUGGUCCAUCGUCUCAAUUUUAAAUUUCAAAUGUUGGCUUUUGGCUGGCCAUUCGAUGUUGGGCCAAUGUUGGCUGAACGUUGGUCCAUCGUCUCAAUUAUUACUGAUAAAUUGUGGCUGUUAAUUGGCUAUUCGACGUUUGGCUAUUAACGUUGGCUCAAUGUUGGUCCAUCGUUUCAAAUUUUACUGAGAAAUGGUGGAUAUAUGUUGGCUAAUAUACGCGACGUUGGGCCAACCCGGGGGCCAACCUUGGCUUAACGUUGGUCUAUAUCGUCUCCAUCUUUACUGAUAAAUAGUGCAUGUAUAUAUUGGUUGGCUAUAUGACGUUGGGCCAACGUAGCAAAUACGACCUAGUACCGCUACAUCCGGGUAAAAAAAAUUGCAUGCGUGCGCAUGCCCAUGUGCUCAUGCAAUUGCAACGUACGUCAGCCAUAUCCUGUCCAUUUGUCUGGAUCAGUUGCCGGGGAAUACCAACACUGCAUGAUUCCUCUACCCGUUCAGAUCCAGCUACCCCUACCUCGAUCAUCCAGAACAGCAUCAACAGCACCAAGGACCCCUUCGACAUCGACCCCAUCAACCUCCAGAACACUGUCGACCCCAACGACCCUAUUGACCUCAACAUUCAGAAAUAUGGAUGCCGAAGUUGUACCACCACAAGCUAGACAAGAUUUUGAUUCCGACUAACCCAUUCUUUAAAGGUCCAUUGCCUUAGGAAAUUAAAACUUUUAUGUCUUGUAUCAAGACCCUUUUAAAGCAACAUAAUAACAAUUGUUUCAUAAAUAAAUGCCUCCUUAUAUUUUUUACAAUUUUUUGAAAACCUCUCCAAGUUGCUCAUCUAAUGGUGGACCCCGCCCCUUACAAUUCUCAGAGUUCCUCGGAAUGAUUGACCAAAGGAUUAGUGAUGUUAUAUCAAGAACGAUCUCCGCUUAGGCAAGCUACGGUGCUUGCUAGCCAGCUCUGCAGGCAUUAUGUUUUGUACACAAACAUAAACAAUAACUUUUGUUAUUAAAUAGUGUGCUAUGCAUCUUUACUUGUUAUUUAUUGUGGUGAAAUUUCACUAAUGGCCCAAUUUUAAAAAGAGAGCUAUACCAUGAGUCGAAGAAGGUCGUAAUUGAUUUGAAUGCCUGUAUAACGUGUCAACUAAAUGCAUGCUAUAAAGAAUUUCAAAGGUAAGAAAAAAAUGUUUCAUAUAUCUAAGUGACUGAAUGUUUUUCGCACUACCUUCUUCUCAAUUUAAAGAAAUAUUGAAAGUGGUAUAUCAGAGUGAAGAAACUUGUGUUUUUCCCUUUACAAGCUCUGCUCUUUCUUACUUCACUUUCAAAUUUCCUCUCUUGUUAUAUAAACAUUUAGCGAUUGCUUUACUUCACACAUUCAAGCAAUGUAUACUAUCCCUCCUAAAAAAACAGUUUGUAGAUGUGUUAACAAUAGAUAUGGCGACGAAAUGUAUCAGCAUCUCUGAAAUGCUUAAGCAUAAAAAAUGUUGGCAAUUUCUCUGAAUUUUAUUUUUUAUUUUUUAUGGAACAUUGUUUACAUUAAUUGCCUAGUUCUUGGUAUGCAAAUGGUGGACACUUUAUUAAUUUCUUUAUAUUUUUGUGCUGUACAUAUGUAGAGGAAUCUUGUCAUAAGCAAUCGUGUUCGUCUGCCAGAAAGUUUGUUUUGUUUUACUCGGGAAGUUGUGAGGAUUGUUUAUUAUAUUCGUACAAUGAAUUUCAGUAUGUUAUGUUGUGUUACGUGUAAGCGACAAUUCAUUUUAUAACAGCUCCUAUCGUCCUAGCAUUCAUUGAAAGUAGGCCUAUAUUGUGACACAUUGAGAUACCUUGAACUUGAAACUAUGUUUACAUCUUUUUCGAAUUCAAACGAAAAUACAAAAGAAAGAUGUACAAUAA